UUUUUGGCUCUGUCGUACAGGGAUUGAUACUUUUCUAACUCUAGCUGCUCUUUUUGGGUCUGUUAUCACGGUAUUUGGGUUCUGUUACUUGAGUACAUUGGUCUUCUAUUGCUUUAUCUGUAUUGUUCGGUUCUGCAUGGGUUUUCCAAAACACUGGAGUAUCUAUGUUCUCUAGUAAGAGUGUCCUCCUACCUGAGGCGAGGGUUAAUAGUUGCAUGUUUGAUUUUUAUUAUUAUUUUUUAAAUGUUCUUGCUUUUUUUUUAAGAAAAAUCUUUUUUUGGUGUUUGUAUUUUGUGUGUGUUCCUUGAUGCAUGUAACUCUGCCUGUGUUAUACACACAGUCGGUCCCAAGCCCGGAUAAAAGAGGAGGGUUGC
rnacentral:misc_RNA from 1 species